UCCUUUUCCUUCUACUCAUCGGAAGAUCGGUCGAUGCCCAAGACGAUGACUCUUUAGCCGGCAGCUUCUUAUCAGAUUAAAGAUCUUCGUCAAAUUGUAAGCUCAUAUACCGGAACGUGUCAUAUCCGAUCCCAUUUUUACGAGCAGGAAAAGAAAGCGAUUUGUAAGAAAUCCGGAACGAGUAGAAAUCUUUUUAUCUGAAAACGUAUACUUACAUACAUACACACACACACACACAUAUAUAUAUAUAAAACAGACACACACAUUCAAAAUAUCAUAGUAACGUUACGUAUUUAUAAAGUGUAUUUAGAGUGUAUCCUAUGUAAAAGAUGACUCUAAUUGUAAGAUGAUCGAGAAAAUAAAGAAAGCGAGUAUCUGUAAGAUAUA
rnacentral:lncRNA from 1 species